GCUCAACCGGGGAGGGUCAUUGGAAACUGGGGAACUUGAGUGCAGAAGAGGAGAGUGGAAUUCCACGUGUAGCGGUGAAAUGCGUAGAGAUGUGGAGGAACACCAGUGGCGAAGGCGACUCUCUGGUCUGUAACUGACGCUGAGGCGCGAAAGCGUGGGGAGCGAACAGGAUUAGAUACCCUGGUAGUCCACGCCGUAAACGAUGAGUGCUAAGUGUUAGAGGGUUUCCGCCCUUUAGUGCUGCAGCAAACGCAUUAAGCACUCCGCCUGGGGAGUACGGUCGCAAGACUGAAACUCAAAGGAAUUGACGGGGGCCCGCACAAGCGGUGGAGCAUGUGGUUUAAUUCGAAGCAACGCGAAGAACCUUACCAGGUCUUGACAUCCUCUGACAACCCUAGAGAUAGGGCUUCCCCUUCGGGGGCAGAGUGACAGGUGGUGCAUGGUUGUCGUCAGCUCGUGUCAUGAGAUGUUGGGUUAAGUCCCGCAACGAGCGCAACCCUUGAUCUUAGUUGCCAGCAUUCAGUUGGGCACUCUAAGGUGACUGCCGGUGACAAACCGGAGGAAGGUGGGGAUGACGUCAAAUCAUCAUGCCCCUUAUGACCUGUGCUACACACGUGCUACAAUGGGCAGAACAAAG
rnacentral:rRNA from 1 species